UAGUGACGUCAUGUGAAAACCAGCUAUAUACACAAGCUGUCGCAUACACCACGUAAUUUGAGUUUGGGAAGCCUGUGAUGGCGCUCGCCCACUCACUCACUCCAUUCUAAUUUUUAAACCUGGUUAAACAUUUUCUCCUACGUCCCCUGCUAAGUAUUGUUUUUGUCCAAGAGUGCUCAGUCGGCUUCAGAAAGGUUCUUUGACGAAGGGGGACUAGAAAGGCGUACAUUUUUGCCCGAUAAAUCGAGAGCCUGGGUACGAGUUUGUCGAACACCUCGAAAAUUGAAGUCGGACAUUUUGGUUUCAUAUGAUUUUCUUUCGUAAAUAUGUUGUUUUUUGCCUAUCGGCUUUUGCUCCGCGUAGAUGAAAGCUGUUAGAGGUAUUUAUAACCGUGGUCGUGCAUCGUUCACAACGACAUGGUCGGCGAGGUCAAAGAAUUGAUACAAGACACCCAUGAUGACAAAGCCAGAAAGUGACAUCGUGAUUAGCAUAUGGGGGAAGUUAAGCUCUUAGCUUUUUUUCUUGGCAAGAGAAUUUGAUGGUUUCCACUCGCUUUCUCUCGUUGUGGCGUCCAAGAGGCAAAAUUAUGGAUGCAGAAGAGGCAAGAAAGGCUACGGUGGAAAAUCGCAUCUCGUGUUCGUGCAAAAGCGCUUGUUGCACGAAACAGAAAACAAAUGCAAAUCGUGGCUGCCCUUGCAAGAUGUGAAAGUGAGUGUACGUGUGGUGCGACAGCAAAUCCGUGCCGAAAACACGAUUUUCACACAUUCCUUGCACCGGAUUCUCGUAUUGUACAGCCAGCUGGAAUCCAUGCAGAGCCUAUACGGACUCCUGGGCUUCGAGAAUAUGCCACAAUGUGUCGGCUUGCGCCUUCUUCGGAAACUUGCAUAGAGCUCACCAUCCAAUUGCUUAUCAAAGCACAGCCACGUGUGAGUUGAGUGACUAUGGACUGUGUGUUUUGAAAUACACCGGAGAGGAAGCACCAUCUGGCGAGAAUCUGGAAUUAGCCGCAAAGACGAUCAAAGACGAGAAUGAGUGGUAUUAAAGCAAACAGGACACGAAUUCCAACCAGGAAAAUGAGACUACCUUUUCGGUUGUUCCGUUUCUCCCGAAAACUUUCCUUUGGAUCGACCUAAGAAGGCGUUUUUAUUUGCUCUAGGAAAGUUAAGGAAUGUCCGGAUAUUUUUUGGAACUAAAUAGUAAACACCCUCCGUAACACCAAGGCUACGGAGAGGUUAACAUUUUUGGAAAGCUAACAACAGCUCGGAAGUUUUGGCUAAUAAGACUCCGUUUAUAAAACUCUCUGAGACUUAUGAUUUUAGCUGAAAAUCAGAACCUAAACAGAGCAGAUCAAACUUGCUUACCUUAGACAAACAAAUUCGAAAGCGAGGGAUAGAAUGGCCAAUUAAGCUCCAGUUGCUGCUUUUAAUGAAGCAGGAUCUGCUCCACAACCCAAUUGGCCGAUUUCUGUACCUGGUACGACCAGACCCAACGCCAGAGUUAUCACGUGGUAGCAAUCCUUCACAUAAAUAAACAUAAUGUUUGGUAAUUUAAUGUCGCGUAGGACGCUUGCUCCCAUUACGUAUCUAUUUAUUUAAAGGCUAUGCACAAACUAUGACGACUUAUUCCAAAAAUGCACCAAACAUUCAUGAGAAGACUGUUUUUCUGAUCUCAGUCUAAGUUAUUCAAUACAGUCGGUUUUAGGCGUAUCAUUAAUUACUCUCGUGAUUGAAAUGUUGAGGGAUGAACUUGUUGCGCAUUUAAAAAACUCAUACAACUUAUGUUUGAGAGCUCGUUGCUCUCAAUGAAAAUUCAAAAUGAAACCCCUUCUCUUGGACUGUAACGGAGCACGUGCAUUGGUAGCAUCCUUCGCAGCAGUUGUUUGUGUCGGUCCUACUCUCCCUCCCCACCAACGUCUGCUGAACCGAGCCGGACAUUCGAUUCCCAGGAACUGACCAAUCACAUCGCGGCUUUUAAAAUCGGUGACUAAGUUCCUGUAGCCUCCUUUGCAGCCGUUCUUUGUGUCGUUCCUUAGCUAGAGUCUGAUUGGAUCCUCGGACACAAUGGGAAUGGAAUGGAGGCUAGUACACUGGAAGUUAGUACAUUAUCCUAAUUAGAUUCACAGCUUUAAGGGUGCACGUUGUUGUAUAGAUUAUUGGCUCGUGUCAUUUUCGGAGAAUGAGAAUCUGCAAAUUUCUAUCUAAGUUUUCGUCGCGAAUAUAGAAUUUCAGGAAUUUAUACGAGAAGGAGAUAAAUUUUGUGAACAAUAUCGUGAUGUGACUGAGGCAGAAUUGCAAAACUAACUUUCUUAAUGAAAACCGAAGGUUUCAAAGUCUAAUCGUCACAUUUUUGCGCCCUUAGAAGUCAAUUACUUUCAAAAAUUCUUGAAAUUAUAAAAUCUGUCACUGUCACAUCAGAAAAGAGGUUAUAAGUUUACCAAUACGUCAUGAGAGGAUUUACUAUACUGUACCUCUCAAUUAGAAAACUUGGACACAAACAUUGCUGUUCGGUAGUUCUAACAUGAGCAGCCUAAAAUAUCACUGUUAAGCGCAAUCCACUAGUAAAACGACAAUCAUGAUGUAAUUCCAUAGUCCACUAAAAAUCCCUUUUUAAAUUUUAGUGGAAUCGACUGUCAAGAUUAACUGAGAAAUUUGAAGCUUGAAACGGAGACAUCUACCCCCAACAAUUUGGUUUAUGAAUUAAAUCAUACUUGGUGUCCCACGCGACCUUAAAGUCAUUUACGUUGUGGGUCUAAACAUAUCCCUUAGGGUAAGAUAAAGGAUGGCAAAUCUGCCUCAUGUCAAAUCUUGGUUAUAAUAAGUUCUUUCAGGAGAGUCGAACCCACACAAUGCCAUCCAAAAAACCACCCUCGUCCUUUCUUAACUGCAUGAAUUUGUUCCUGUAGUUUUUUGAGUCAUCCCCAUCUCCACAGAUAUCCCAAACUCCAAUUAACAGAAUCCUAGGCGCACAACGGGGUAAACUAUAACAGUUUUACCGUAAUUUAGGAGUAAGAGAGAAAUCAAGAGAAGCAAGAGAAAAAUCCUUGAAAAUGCAACAAAAAUGCUUACAUGGUCAAUGUACGGUGUAUUACACUGUUUCAGAGCAUUUUCAAGGAAGGUCUUAAAGCAAUGAAAAUGCGACAGAAUUGCUGAAAUGGUGUAUUAUAUGACGGGAAUUCUCACAUAAAGAGAUUGGACAGUGUCUGAGCCACCACAUGCUAAUCGACAAUUUUUUUUUCCGACAGUUAUAGCACUUCUUUAACUGUCAAGUUAAUUUGUAAUCGUGGAUCAGGGGAAGGAACAAUUACAGGCAUGGAUGCCACGAACUCGUCCGGUCAUUUUACAACAGCUUUGCUUUCCAAAUAUGCUUGUCCUAUACCUCCACCGCCUACCGAGGGCUCCAGACAGGCUUUAGCAUUCAGCUUACUUAUCGCGUAUGAACAGAUUAAGUAGUUUAAUUUUUUUCCCCACAACUUUCUUUAACUCUUCUUAGGCUAGACGUUAAUUAACCCUUUGCACAGUAUUUUUUUCUGUAUCAUAAACUUUAUUUGGAGCUGAGCUUGACCCUGCAAAACAUUUCGGGCCCGAAAAACUAUUUUACGUGCACUAGGUUCAUAACCAGAAAUGUACAGGCCCGCAAAUGAUCCCCUGACCGGAAAUGGCCGCCUAAUCAGUAAUUAAAGAAUGGCAUGAACUCAAGAAUUUAGACGGUGGAUUUAAACUUUUUUUUUUCUUGUAACGUAACAGUCAUUACAUUUAAAAGCUUUGUAUACAAAGUUUACAACUUUAGAACUAAAAAGUCAGCAGCUCUGUUCAACAGAACAAUUUUGCUGUAAACUGUAAAAUACAGGUAUAUUUUUUUCUUCUACGAUUACAACGCCUAAAAUGUGUAGGAAUCGUGUGACACUCCUCAUUUUUUAAAUAGGGCUAAUAACACGAAGUAAAUUUUAGCAGUACAACUAAAAAUCGUUUAACUCGGGACAGAUCUUUUACUGACGAAUUCGCUGCGAUAUUAAACAAAAGUCCAUUGAAAUUGUUUGUUUGUUUGUUCGUUUGUUUUUUCGAUACAUCUUUGAAAGCCAAGAUCAAAUGAGAACAAGAGGAGACGAGAAUUUUAAUACUCUCGGCAAGUGCAAGAAAAUUAAAGAUCGGGCCUCUCGUGACUUACAAGUUUUUUAGAAAAAUAAAGGAGAAGAUUGAAAUUGAGCCACCGGUUUGAUGAUAAUUUGGUCCAAGUGCUUGCGAUGCCAGUCAAAUCUCGCUCGCUAUCGUCAUAUGUCCCAUAAUCUACGCCACAGCUCCGAGAAGAACCGAGAGAAAGCUAGGUGAAGUUGUGCAUGAGCCGUAAUGGCGGCAAGUUUAAAAGUAGUUUCGAAAAUCAUUUUAAAAGAUAGACCGAUUUCGAUAUGUUUUAAAUUCUAGCUUGGCUUAGGGGAAUAAACCAAAAGAAAUGACGUUGAGGUUCACAGCCGAGUAAUUAGUUUCUUUUGUUUUAUUCCCCUAAACCUCGU